rnacentral:rRNA from 1 species
GACGAACGCUGGCGGCGUGCUUAACACAUGCAAGUUGAGCGCUGAAGGUUGGCACUUGUGCCGUCUGGGUGUGCAGCGAACGUGAGAGUCACGUGUGGGACAUCUCCCUUUGAGCGGGGGACAACAUGGGGAAAGGAAUGCUAAUACCGCAUAAAAUCCUGAAACACAAGGUUGAAGGGUGAAAUAUGCCAUUGCAUCACUCAAUGAUGGUCCCGCGGUGUAUUAGCGAGUUGGUGAGGUAAAGGGUCACCAAGGCGAUGAUACAUAGCCGACCUGAGAGGGGGGGGGGCCAGCGUGGGACUGUGAAAGGGCCCCAACUCCUACGGGGGGCAGCCGGAGGGAAUCGUCGGCAAUGGGCGAAAGUCUGACCGGGCAACGCCGCGUGAGUGAAGGAGGGUUUCGGAUCGUGAAACUCGGUUGGUAGGGAAGAACGUUGGUGAGAGUGGAAAGCGCAGCAAGUGACGGUAACUACCCAGAAAGGGACGGCUAACUACGUG